CCUACGGGGGGCAGCAGUGAGGAAUAUUGGUCAAUGGGCGGAAGCCUGAACCAGCCAAGUAGCGUGCAGGAUGACGGCCCUACGGGUUGUAAACUGCUUUUAUACGGGAAUAACGCGCCUUACGCGUAGGGCUUUGCAUGUACCCUAUGAAUAAGGACCGGCUAAUUCCGUGCCAGCAGCCGCGGUAAUACGGAAGGUCCGAGCGUUAUCCGGAUUUUUUGGGUUUAAAGGGUGCGUAGGCGGUCAGGUAAGUUAGAGGUGAAAGCUCGAUGCUCAACAUCGAAACUGCCUCUGAUACUGUCUGACUAGAGUGUAGUUGCGGAAGGCGGAAUGUGUGGUGUAGCGGUGAAAUGCUUAGAUAUCACACAGAACACCGAUUGCGAAGGCAGCUUUCCAAGCUAUUACUGACGCUGAGGCACGAAAGCGUGGGGAGCGAACAGGAUUAGAUACCCCUGUAGUC
rnacentral:rRNA from 1 species